UACGUAGGGUGCAAGCGUGUCCGGAUUUAUUGGGCGUAAAGAGCUCGUAGGCGGUCUGUCGCGUCGAAUGUGAAAGCCCAAGGCUCAACCUUGGGUCUGCAUUCGAUACGGGCAGACUAGAGUAUGGCAGGGGAGACUGGAAUUCCUGGUGUAGCGGUGAAAUGCGCAGAUAUCAGGAGGAACACCGAUGGCGAAGGCAGAUCUCUGGGCCGUAACUGACGCUGAGGAGCGAAAGCAUGGGGAGCGAACAGG
rnacentral:rRNA from 1 species